UUUUCAGCCGCCGCGGUAAUACAGAGGUCCCAAGCGUUGUUCGGAUUCACUGGGCGUAAAGGGUGCGUAGGUGGUCGGGUAAGUCCGAUGUGAAAUCUCCGAGCUUAACUCGGAAACUGCAUCGGAUACUAUUCGACUUGAGGGUUGGAGGGGGGACUGGAAUUCUCGGUGUAGCAGUGAAAUGCGUAGAUAUCGAGAGGAACACCAGUGGCGAAGGCGAGUCCCUGGACAACUCCUGACACUGAGGCACGAAAGCUAGGGGAGCAAACAGGAUUAGAAACCCCAGUAGUCC
rnacentral:rRNA from 1 species